GGAGAGGUUGGGGAGCGGUCAAACCCAGCAGACUGUAAAUCUGCCGUCUCGUACUUCGCAGGUUCGAAUCCUGCCCUCUCCA
rnacentral:tRNA from 1 species